GGAAGAGAAGAGCCUGAGAGAAAAAUAACACUUGGACUGGCACCAGGAGGGAGGCAGAAGGGACAGGAGAAGGGAAGGCUUGAACGGAAUGGGAAGAAGCUAAAGGGGAACAGAUGUUCUAAGUCAACUCAGGGGAAGGAAUUGCUCGAAGGAUGUGCUUGUCUCUGGAAGCUUAUGCAUUCUUCCUGAGAUUUCACAACCAGCUGAAGUAGGUACCUGCACCCAGCCGGACUCCAGUCCAGGGUCUGUGCAACAUUCACUUGCCUGCAGUGGCUCCUGUGAGCCCCAGUAAGACCACCCACAGCAGUGAAUCAAUGACAGGACACUUGGAGAGCUUUUCCUGGGAUGUCUUCUUUAUUGAAGCUUUUCAAGAUCCUGAGUGGAAGACCAAGAGAAGCUGCACCUGGACUCCUGACCAUGGAAUCUGAGCUCUUAAGAGUAGGUUGUUCUGAUCUAAAUUUGUGCUGAUUUCAUGUAAGGCAUGAUCAUAUCAUUAGAAUGAGAAGCAAAAGGACAGUGCAUCAAUAUUCAGGCAGCAAUGGUGUGAACAAUGAGUAGAGGCACAGACCCCAAAGCCAUGUUGGGUGGAUUUGUGUUCGAGCCCCAUCACCUACAUGUUAUGUGAACUUGGGGUGUUCCUACAUUUUCCUAUUCUUUGAUUUCCACAUAAUGAAAUGAACUGGAUGGAGGGUUACUCUCAUGGAAUUAUCUUGAGGAUUAAUGAAUCUCGGCACAGUCAUUAGAAGAACAACUGACACAUGAUAAGUACUCUAUAGACCAUUAGGCAUCCUAAAAGAACCUAUUCUAUUCAUACCAGUGGCUCUGAACAUAUGGAAGGCUCUCAUUAUUUACCCCAAAGAGAUAAGCAUGAGUCAUCUUACUGUAGUCAAAACAUUUGACCAAAAGAUGAACUUAUCAACCUAUUACCUUUCGGAAAUUAAAUUCAGUUAAGAAAACAUGCAUAAAGUCUUAUAGUGAGUACCAUUUCAAUUUUAAACGGCAAAGAGAACACCUGCAAACAUGAUCAUAUCUGAAGAUCUUGCUGCUCCCUCCUAGGGUUUAGAUAUGGUCUGAGAGCAUCAAUUGAAACUCGUGCAAGGGAAGCUCGGGCUGCGUUGUGGUGAUACUGAGGUGAAAAGCCUUUACCAAGUGAUGCUGGGUGAAUGAUAACUGGGUCAUGGGGUUAUAUGGAGGUUGGUGUUUUCCUCUAGAAGGAGGUCACGAGGAUGCCAUCUCCUCUGACCUCUCUGACUCCUCAUAUCACCAUUCUGUCUCUUUGGCACAUGCUUGUGACAUUGUGGUACCAUCUGGCAUGGGGCCUUCACCCGAGCCAAGAAGAUGCUGAGGAUUCUGUGAUCUAGAGCAUCUACAACCCUAGAUAAGUAAGACGCCUUCCUGUACAAAGUGCUUGGACUGGGAUGCAGUCCCAUAGCAGAACGAAUGCUUAAUUAACACCCACAGGCCUGGAUUUCAAUUCUCGGCACCACUGGGGAAACUCCAUAAAAUACCAAGAUCCACAUAGCACCAUAAAAUGAACUGAACUGACAUUCCUUCUGCCCCAAGAUUUAAGAAUCAAACAAAUUUCCAUAGUGAUAGUCAUCACUAAAACACUUGGGAACAGCUACUGAAUUCUCAUACUGUAAUUGUUGUACAGUAUUCUCAAUGAUUGUGCAGCAAACUAAACUAGAAUGAUAUUUUAUGAUAUAUUACAGAAUAGUUGCACAGAAAGAUGACAGAAGAUGAUAAAUAGAUUAGAUAGAUA
rnacentral:sRNA from 1 species